rnacentral:tRNA from 1 species
GAGGGUGCAGCUCAGUGGUAGGGCGUAUGCCUAGCAUGCAUGAGGUCCUGGGCUCAGUCUCCAGUACCUCCA